UACGGAGGAUGCAAGCGUUAUCCGGAAUUAUUGGGCGUAAAGCGUCCGCAGGUGGUUUAUCAAGUCUGCUGUCAAAGCGCGAGGCUUAACUUCGUAAAGGCAGUGGAAACUGAUAGACUGGAGUGCGGUAGGGGCAGAGGGAAUUCCCAGUGUAGCGGUGAAAUGCGUAGAUAUUGGGAAGAACACCGGUGGCGAAGGCGGGCUUCUGGCUAAUAACUGACGCUGAGGUGCGAAAGCUAGGGGAGCGAACGGG
rnacentral:rRNA from 1 species